AGCGAAGGUAACCACGAGUCUAACGAAACAAAUUAUAGAACAAACAACUUUAGGAAACAUUCGUUUUAGUAAUACUACUAUCGAUAAUUUUAUCAUAUUUUAUGGUACGCAUAUUCUUGGCGACGAAAUGUAUUUUAUGGUUUUUGUCCUUUUUUGAAAACACGUCUCUCAACAUCCGGAUAAUAUUGAGCACGUUUCAAAAUACCUGCAGCUCUAUCAUGUUCAUUCAUUUUUACAGUUCACAAAAUAUCCCAG